CGGGAAGGUCCUCCGCGGCUGGCGGUGGCGGUGGCGGUGGGGAUGACAGAGGCUGCGGAGAUGAUGACGGUGGAGAUGCCGGAGGAGCCCGGCCCGGUGCGCGGCGUCCCCGGCUCGCCGCUCCGCUGCGCGCUUUGCAUAGGGAGGGCUCGCCUAGGCCGGCCCGGCUGCAGGCAGGGCGCGCGCGGUGGCCGCUCCGGGGCUGGGUGGCGCGGCGGGUGACUGUCCCGGAGACGCGGGCCUCGGCAGCGGGGAGGUCAACACUUCAUGCUUCUCGCGUCUUCUGCCUGGCGCUUAUAAUUACUAUUAUUAUUUUUUUCCCCUUCUUUGCUCUCUGGAUCCCUCGCGUGCGCGCGCUCUCUCUCUCUCUCUCUCUCUCUCCCUCGGUGCAAAGUGCAAGACCGAGGUGCCGGCCGGCUGGAGGCAAGGGAGGGGGAGUUUAGUUCUGUCUUGCUUUUUUUUUUUUUCUCUUUAUAAAAAGCAAAAUUACGAAGUCCUGGGGAAAAGGCCGAGAGCUGAAGGAUGUUGGGGGGCGGGGGGAGGCCGACGGACCCGGAGCCCGAACCACAGCUCCAAGAUGAAAAAAGAUUUUAAAGCCUCUGAUCCAGCGAGAAGAGUUUAAAGCAAUUGCUGAGUUUUAUAGCGCUCGUGACGUCAGGCUCAAAUGGGAAAUUGACUGGCACUCUCCGCCAAUGGGAGGCGGCGAGAGCGGCCGCGAUUAGCAUAAUAGUGUAGAAACAAGGAAACUUUUCCGAGCUGUCAAUCAGGGCCCAAUCAGCUGACUGUCAGCUGGGACCGGCUGGUUUAACCCUUGCACCGCCGCAGCUCCCGGGGACCGGUUGGAAAACAACUCAUGUGGGUUCCGAGGAGAAAGCAGAGAACAGAUAAAUGAGACUCACGGGCUGCUUUCCAGGGGGAGAGCAAGUCUCAAUCUGUUUCCCAAGCCAGCACAGGAGCUCUGACAGGAUGCAUGCUAACUUCUCCAGUGGGUACAGCAGACACAGUGCCUAGGGACAACUGCGGGCCCACAGAAGCAUUUGAGUUUCUUUUAAUACCAGAAGAAAAGAAAGGAACAUUAAUUUAGCAUGGAUUAUGUCACUGUCAUACAGAAGCAGGCAUAAGCCUCGCAAGAAUGCUUAGCGAGUAAAAGUGCUUGCUGUGCAAGCCUAAUCAUUAGUGUUUGUACCCACUGUGGAAGGACAGAACAGACUCCCCAAAGUCAUCCUCUAACCUCCCCAGGCCAUCUGUGGCCCAGCUAUGCCCUCAUCACACAUACA